AGUGAACGCUGGCGGUAGGCCUAACACAUGCAAGUCGAACGGCAGCACAGUAAGAGCUUGCUCUUACGGGUGGCGAGUGGUGGACGGGUGCGGAAUACAUCGGAAUCUACUUUUUCGUGGGGGAUAACGUAGGGAAACUUACGCUAAUACCGCAUACGACCUACGGGUGAAAGCAGGGGACCUUCGGACCUUGCGCGAUUGAAUGAGCCGAUGUCGGAUUAGCUAGUUGGCGGGGUAAAGGCCCACCAAGGCGACGAUCCGUAGCUGGUCUGAGAGGAAGACCAGCCACACUGGGACUGAGACACGGCCCAGACUCCUACGGGAGGCAGCAGUGGGGAAUUUUGGACAAUGGGCGCAAGCCUGAUCCAGCCAUGCCGCGUGGGUGAAGAAGGCCUUCGGGUUGUAAAGCCCUUUUGUUGGGAAAGAAAAGCAGCAGGUUAAUACCCCGCUGUUCUGACGGUACCCAAAGAAUAAGCACCGGCUAACUUCGUG
rnacentral:rRNA from 1 species